rnacentral:rRNA from 1 species
UUAGGAAUCUUGCGCAAUGGGCGAAAGCCUGACGCAGCGACGCCGCGUGUGCGAAGAAGGCCUUCGGGUUGUAAAGCACUGUCACACGGGACGAAUGGAGUAAAGGGGAAAGUUCUUUACUCGUGACGGUACCGUGGAAGGAAGCACCGGCUAACUCCGUGCCAGCAGCCGCGGUAAUACGGAGGGUGCAAGCGUUGUUCGGAUUUAUUGGGCGUAAAGCGCGUGUAGGCGGUAUUGUAAGUCUGAUGUGAAAUCCUUGAGCUCAACUCGAGAACUGCAUUAGAUACUGCUUUACUAGAGUGUCGGAGAGGGUACUGGAAUUCCUGGUGUAGAGGUGAAAUUCGUAGAUAUCAGGAAGAACACCGGUGGCGAAGGCGGGUACCUGGACGAUAACUGACGCUGAGACGCGAAAGCGUGGGGAGCAAACAGG